AUCGGUAUGGGAUGGGCCCGCGUUUGAUUAGCUAGUUGGUAGGGUAAUGGCUUACCAAGGCAACGAUCAGUAGCUGGUCUGAGAGGACGAUCAGCCACACUGGAACUGAGACACGGUCCAGACUCCUACGGGAGGCAGCAGUGAGGAAUUUUGCACAAUGGGGGCAACCCUGAUGCAGCGACGCCGCGUGCGGGAUGAAGGAGCUUUGCUUCGUAAACCGCUGUCGAAUGGGAAGAAAAGUCUCCUUAGGGGACUGGGACUGUACCAUUAAAGGAAGCACCGGCUAACUACGUGCCAGCAGCCGCGGUAAUACGUAGGGUGCGAGCGUUGUCCGGAAUUACUGGGUGUAAAGGGUGCGCAGGCGGGUCUGUUUGUCGGAGGUUAAAGACCUCGGCUUAACCGAGGGAGUGCCUUCGAAACGGCAGAUCUUGAAUAUGAGAGAGGAUGAUAGAAUUCCUGGUGUAGCGGUGAAAUGCGUAGAUAUCAGGAGGAAUACCAGUGGCGAAGGCGGUCAUCUGGCUCAUCAUUGACGCUCAGGCACGAAAGCGUGGGUAGCGAACAGGAUUAGAUACCCUGGUAGUCCACGCCGUAAACGAUGUCAACUAGUUGUUGGGUUCCUUGAGGACUUAGUAACGCAGCUAACGCA
rnacentral:rRNA from 1 species